rnacentral:rRNA from 1 species
AUGUGUGUCCCUGACCUCAGUAUUCUUAGGAGUGCUGUGUUAGAAGGCAAAUCUUAUAAUCUGGGAGCCAUUGUUGCACGUAGGUUGCAUCUUAAUAGAUUUAAUGGAGAUUUCUUUGGUGGAAUUUAUGCAACCCGCAUAGCUAAUUUUCUUGGUGUAUCCAUACACGAAGAUGAUAUUGAAUUACCUCCUGCUUACCUAGACUUUAAUGCUAUGGUUCACCACCAGUUUGUCAAGAGGAAUGAAUCGCCUCUCCAGUAUCAACUAAUCAUUGACAGACGCCGUGCUGUCCAUAUUACUCUCCCUGCUCCUGCCUUCUUUGAUCAUCAGGCAAAAGGAAGAUAUGUUAUUACCAGGGAGGAGGCAGAUGAGUACGAGAGGAGAGGGGAGGCCGCUCGUCGCCAUGCUGGAGCUCAGGAGGCGAUAGCCGCUGCAUCUCAGUACAAUCCCAACUUCUACUACGGAUAUCCGCCAGGCCAACCGUGGCCAUAG